rnacentral:rRNA from 1 species
UACGUAGGGUGCAAGCGUUAAUCGGAAUUACUGGGCGUAAAGCGUGCGCAGGCGGUUUUGUAAGUCUGUCGUGAAAUCCCCGGGCUCAACCUGGGAAUUGCGAUGGAGACUGCAAGGCUAGAAUCUGGCAGAGGGGGGGUAGAAUUCCACGUGUAGCAGUUGAAAUGCGUAGAGAUGUGGAGGAACACCGAUGGCGAAGGCAGCCCCCUGGGUCAAGAUUGACGC